CGGCGUCAAGGCAGGAAGGAAGCAAAUGAGUGCGGAGGUCUGCGGUCGGUUUCUACAAGUUCUUAAUUAGCAUUUAGCGUUUCAAUUCAUUAUCUAUAAAUUGAACUUGUUUA